ACUAAUUAGAAUCAAGGACAAAUCUACUUAAAUUAGAAUGCAUGCCUCAUAAUAAUUCUCCUUUUCUUACUUCACUUAUCUUAAAAAAAAUUCUUAAACUCAUAUAUUAUUUGAUGCGUCUUCAUUCACUAUUUUCGGGCUUCGAUUAAAUUGGAUCUAUGUAUCUUUUUACUUUGCAAAUUUUACUCUUAACCAAAACUCUAAAAUAAAUUGAAAAAUCAAUUAUUUUCACUUAGCUACACAAAAAAAAUUAAUGGAACCUUAAUUUAAACUUAGGCUAAAAUUUAAUAUUAAAUUUUCCUCCAAAAUUAAUUCUAUUUUCGAAACUGGACUAAAAUACAUUAUUGCAAUUUCCCCUAUUAAAGGGAGUCGGGCCCAGAUUCAUUCUUUUCACUAAUUCAACCCAAAUGAAUUAUCAUUUGCCUAGUUCUAAUUAAAUUGGUGGCCCCAAAACAUUAAAUUCUCUAGCCCAAAUGAAAGAAAAACUAGCCCAACCCUUAAGCCCAAAAAGAGAAAACCUACGUUUUAAAAAAAAAUAUAUCCAAGUCUUCUUCCUCCCUCAUUCACCAAAAAUGAACAGCAGCCUCUCUCCUCUCCCUCUCUCGUCGCCGCCGAUCCGCCGCCCUGCCAGCGCCGCCGCUCCGGCGGCGCUCCUCUCUUCCUCUCUCCCUUCUCUCUCUCUCCCUCUUCUCUCAGCCUCACGCCGUCGCGCCACCACCGCCGCUGCGGAUCCGCCGUCGUCGCGGGUCCGCCUCAGCCGCUGUCGCCGAGUAUCUCUGUCGCCUCCUUCCUCUCCCCCUCUUUCUUUCUCUCCCCCGGCUCCCUCUUUCUCUCACGGAUCUGCCGCCGCCGCCGCUGCCACUGUGCAUGCACAGGCGGCGGCUUCGGCCUCCUCCGCGUCUCGCACCGCCGUAGCAGCUUCCCGGCACCACUCCAGCCCCGGCCGCCGCCUCCUCGCCGAACUCCCGGAAGAUUUGUCAAGAUUUUAUUGAAAGUGAUAGGGGUGUGGGGGGGCUGCCCUUGUCGUCUCUGGGCUGCCGAGCUUACUGCCGGAAAUCCGGCAGAUUCGUACUCAUGAGAUAAGUUUUCCAAUUGACUAGUUCUUAAAGUGCAUGCUUCCUUCAUUUUACUUCAUGAAUUUGGUGACUUGGGGCAUUUGUCUUACUGUUAUGGAUGGCUUGGUGGUGGGAGACGAUGUUAAACUUACUGUGUAUUGGUUAAUGUUACUAGAACAGAUUCUACUUUCAAAUUAUAUAUGCAUAUGCUUGAAUAUGAAAGAAAAGGGAGGCUUGGGGUUUACCUUUUGAUGUGGGCACGAAGUGUUGUUGGAUUGAGGACUUGAUCCUACAAUUAUCUGCAACUCUCCCUCCUCUAUUCUAUGUGGAAAUUUUGGAAAGUUUGUUUGUGACGUGGGUGGGUGAAAAUUAUUGUAUAUAUCUAUACAUAUGCAUAAAGAAUGGCAAGUGAAAGUUUCCUGACUUACUCCUAUCUCAGAUUAGUCUUCUCCUUCGUCAGGAAGGGAUAUGAUUUGAUAUGAUUUCUUCUGCCAUCCAAUUAAUGCAGCAUUUAAUGCUGCUGAUAUUACCUAAUUCUAUCGGAUUUUUUUUAUUUAUUUAUUAAUUUAAUUAUUUGAGUAUUUAUUCACUUAUUCAUUUAAUUUGGUGUAGGAAUAAUUGGUUCAAGUUCGUGGUCCUCCGCGUUGAAGUACCCGCUUUCUUAAAACAUAUGAUGUAUAAAUUAAAUUUUGUUGGACUUUUGGUUGGAUGUAUCGGACAUUAAAAUUUGGAUUAUGGAACUUUAUUUAUUAAUUUAAA